rnacentral:lncRNA from 1 species
GGUUGCUGGCGGGUGCCUAAUCUGCCAACAUAGAUAUGUUUUGGCCACCAGUACAAUUUUUUUGUGGCGUAGUGCCACCAUCGCCGCAGCCCCGACGCCCCAGAGAGAGGGAGAGAGAGGGAGGGAGGGAGAGAGAGAUGGCUUACCCAUGUCUCGUCGUUGCCACGCCUCGGCCCCCACACCGGCCAAAUCCGAUCAGGGAGGGGACAUGCAGAUCUAGGCGGCCACCCUACGCCGCCGCCGCUCCCCCAUGCCACCAAGCCCCGAGUUCUGCUCCCGUACCUCGCCCCGCCGCUGCUCCCCACUACCAAUGAGGAGCUAGUGGAGGGGAAGGGGAGGGGGCAACUGAGGGGAGAUCCGGCCGGCAGGGAGGGUGGAGUGGAGAGGGCGAGAGGCGAGAGAAGAGGGGUGGAGAGAAGAGGGCCGGCUUGAGAGAGAGUGGGUGUGUGAGAUGGGGGGGGCACUGGUGGGGAGGGUGGGAUGGCGUGGAGCCAAACGUGAGUUGUUCUAAAAAAUGCAGUUGAUGAAAAUUCUGGAUCCGAGCCAACUAUCACCGUCGGUUUGUAUUACGCUCCUACGACCCCAUUUAGUAUCACUGCCGGUUUACGUAAAACCGUUUGUGAUAGUCUGUCUCGAAUGGCUCGUUCUAUAUUUGUGUGUCCUCUUCCUCUUUAAGCCACUUUGAACAGGGAAUUUCAUUCUCAUUAAAUAUAGUAUCAUGUUGAUAAUUUUGAUGAUGUGGUAAAGAAUUAAUGAAGAAAGAGAUGGAACCAUGUAUUGUCUCUUGCAUGUAUUGCCUAUGAAACACCAAAUAUGACACAAUGUGUUGUAUAUAUGUGGUGCUUCAUUCAUUACAAACUAUCUUGUUAUGUAGCAUUUUUAGAAACACAAAAACGAGGACCCCCACUGGGAAUACUCUUAGAUUACUGCAUUGCUCUGCCGUCACGCUGACUCCGCGAUCCUCAAGCUACGGAUCCUCUGUGUUAUACCUCAGCUGGUUGGAUUUUUGUAAUUU